AGUCUCGCGACGCCUCGGGUCUGGCGCGCGAGCGGCGAGCUCAGUGCGCGCGGAGUGCGCGUUUCCGGCUGCCGCAUCGGAGGGAAGCGCGGUCGGCGAAAGGCGAACGAGGUGAGGCGAGUUCAGCGUCGUGAAACUCCUCACGCAAGCAGGCAUCACAGAAAGAGCUGUACACUGCCAGCUCGAUCCUCUCCGCCGUCGGGAAACGGCGCCACCAUUGGGCUGGAGGUAGACCCACACCCGACGAUUCUUACCCGCUGCCGUCAGAUUUGUGAACGGUCCCCGAGCAUCAGCUCUUCCUUGUUACAGUUUACAAAGCUUUUACAUCGAGAUUCCUGAUGGUGGAAAGUACUACAUCAAUAAUGUCCUGUCCGAAUCACUAAAUGGAACUCAGAGUUAUUUGUGACCCAAUGAGAAGUCAAUGACGGCAUAUCUGUGCAAUGAGGAGGAAGUCUCUGAUCAGCAAAGCCUGGCAUCACAGUCGUAAAAAAGUGGACAGGGCUUCAGUUCAAUUCUCUGUUGUAACGUCCCCAAGGGAUUUCAAGAGAUUAACACGAGAACAGUCAACGAAUUCCUUUCAAAUAAGGAUUAAAUCAGGUCGAACCCAUUUCACCGUUGGGAACCGUUUUUCCCCGUUGGAGUGGGAAUCUCUAAAGUUGCCCGAACUUUUGCCUGAACAGGAGCUACCUUACCUUGACCCACAACAUAACCAAGGAAGUCUGCCACUGGGACCACCCUACCGGCUUGGCUGACGUCCCCAGGGCCAGUGCUGCUCCGGAAACCUGUGAGGAGCAAUAAAUACUCCCCGCUGGUCGAGAGGGUUCACCUUCUACAUGCGAACACCCAGUAUGCUUACGUGGUCUUACCUGAUGGGCGGGAGGACACGGUCUUCGUCCGCGACCUGGCACCCGCAGGAGCAUCAGACCACUGCCCCGAAUACUCCACGGUAACUAUGAACCCUGUACCCGAGGUGACACCACGCACACUGAGCCCUACACAGAGUCCUCACGACACUCCUAUACCGGGCGUCUCGUACGCACGUAUACCAGGCACCUCACACAAGCAUGAGGGAUCACUGAUGCCUAGUGAGCUGACACCUCCAGUUAGACCGGAACCAGCACAACCACCGUCUCCGGUGCAAUCACCUCCGGCACCUGUGCAAUCACAGCCGGUGCUAUGUAGAUCGCAGCGACAGAUUCGACCACCUGAUAGACUUAACCUGUAAAUAUACUUGUAAGAAACU